rnacentral:rRNA from 1 species
GCUUGACUGUAGCUUGUAAUUGGGUUCGGGCUUUUUUGCGCAGCCUAGGUGGGAGGCAACGAUGAUUUUUUUCCGGAAAAAUUUGAAGCGUUAGUGAGAGACCACUCUGAAAAGGCUAGAAUCCUAAUAAUGAUCCUUGAAUCAGGACAUUUGACAGUUGCAGGUGGCAGUUUUACUGGGCGGUAUUCUCCUAAAAAGUAACGGAGGGGUGCAAAGGUUCCCUCAAGCUGGACGGAAAUCAGCUUAAGAGUGUAAAGGCAAAAGGGAGCUUGACUGCAAGACCUACAAGUCGAGCAGGGGCGAAAGCCGGCCUUAGUGAUCCGACGGUACCACGUGGAAGGGCCGUCGCUCAACGGAUAAAGUUA